rnacentral:rRNA from 1 species
UAAGGAAUAUUGGUCAAUGGGCGAAAGCCUGAACCAGCCAUCCAGCGUGCAGGAAGAAGGCCCUACGGGUUGUAAACUGCUUUUGUCAGGGAAGAAACCCUUGGAUUCACUCCGAGGCUGACGGUACCUGAAGAAUAAGCACCGGCUAACUCCGUGCCAGCAGCCGCGGUAAUACGUAGGGUGCAGGCGUUAAUCGGAAUUACUGGGCGUAAAGCGUGCGCAGGCGGUUUGCUAAGACAGGUGUGAAAUCCCCGGCGUUAACCUGGGAACUGCGCUUGUAACUGGCAAGCUAGAGUGUGGCAGAGGGGGUGGGAUUCCAGGUGUAGCAGUGAAAUGCGUAGAUAUCUGGAGGAACACCGAUUGGCGAAGGCAGCCCCC